rnacentral:rRNA from 1 species
CCUACGGGUGGCUGCAGUGGGGAAUUUUGGACAAUGGGCGCAAGCCUGAUCCAGCCAUGCCGCGUGAGUGAAGAAGGCCUUCGGGUUGUAAAGCUCUUUCGGCGGGGAAGAAAUUGCACUCGUUAAUACCGGGUGUAGAUGACGGUACCCGCAUAAGAAGCACCGGCUAACUACGUGCCAGCAGCCGCGGUAAUACGUAGGGUGCGACCGUUCGUCGGAAGUACUGGGCGGGUUGCGUAAGCAGGAUGUUAAAUCCCCGGGCUCAACCUGGGAACUGCAUUUGAGACUGCACGGCUAGAGGAUGGCAGAGGGGGGUAGAAUUCCACGUGUAGCAGUGAAAUGCGUAGAGAUGUGGAGGAAUACCGAUGGCGAAGGCAGCCCCCUGGGCUAUUUCUGACACUCAUGCACGAAAGCGUGGGGAGCAAACAGGAUUAGAUACCCCUGUAGUC